GAUGAACGCUGGCGGCGUGCCUAAUACAUGCAAGUCGAGCGAACAGAUGAGGAGCUUGCUCCUCUGACGUUAGCGGCGGACGGGUGAGUAACACGUGGAUAACCUACCUAUAAGACUGGGAUAACUUCGGGAAACCGGAGCUAAUACCGGAUAAUAUAUUGAACCGCAUGGUUCAAUAGUGAAAGACGGUUUUGCUGUCACUUAUAGAUGGAUCCGCGCCGCAUUAGCUAGUUGGUAAGGUAACGGCUUACCAAGGCAACGAUGCGUAGCCGACCUGAGAGGGUGAUCGGCCACACUGGAACUGAGACACGGUCCAGACUCCUACGGGAGGCAGCAGUAGGGAAUCUUCCGCAAUGGGCGAAAGCCUGACGGAGCAACGCCGCGUGAGUGAUGAAGGUCUUCGGAUCGUAAAACUCUGUUAUUAGGGAAGAACCAAUGUGUAAGUAACUAUGCACGUCUUGACGGUACCUAAUCAGAAAGCCACGGCUAACUACGUG
rnacentral:rRNA from 1 species